UCUGCCUCUGUGGUGGAUAGUGGAGUGUUUCCCAUGUGGUAUUGGUGUGCUGGAUAUCCCUUCACUGGUAGCCUGGUAGCAUACAUUCCCAGGUCUUUCUCUGCCUCUGUGGUGGAUAGUGGAGUGUUUCCCAUGUGGUAUUGGUGUGCUGGAUAUCCCUUCACUGGUAGCCUGGUAACAUACACUCCCAGGUCUUUCUCUGCCUCUGUGGUGGAUAGUGGAGUGUUUCCCAUGUGCUAUUGGUGUGCUGGAUAUCCCUUCACUGGUAGCCUGGUAACAUACACUCCCAGGUCUUUCUCUGCCUCUGUGGUGGAUAGUGGAGUGUUUCCCAUGUGGUAUUGGUAUGCUGGAUAUCCCUUCACUGGUAGCCUGGUGACAUACACUCCCAGGUCUUUCUCUGCCUCUGUGGUGGAUAGUGGAGUGUUUCCCAUGUGGUAUUGGUGUGCUGGAUAUCCCUUCACUGGUAGCCUGGUAACAUACACUCCCAGGUCUUUCUCUGCCUCUGUGGUGGAUAGUGGAGUGUUCCCCAUGUGGUAUUGGUGAGCUGGAUAUCCCUUAACUGGUAGCCUGGUAACAUACACUCCCAGGUCUUUCUCUGCCUCUGUGGUGGAUAGUGGAGUGUUUCCCAUGUGGUAUUGGUGUGCUGGAUAUCCCUUCACUGGUAGCCUGGUAACAUACACUCCCAGGUCUUUCUCUGCCUCUGUGGUGGAUAGUGGAGUGUUUCCCAUGUGGUAUUGGUGUGCUGGAUAUCCCUUCACUGGUAGCCUGGUAACAUACACUCCCAGGUCUUUCUCUGCCUCUGUGGUGGAUAGUGGAGUGUUUCCCAUGUGCUAUUGAUAUGCUGGAUUUCCCCUCCCAAGGUGCAUGACUUUAUAUUUUUCUUCAUUGCAUUGUAGCAGACACAAUGCUCUGUAGUUUGGUGAUGUCUUAUUGUAGGAAAUCCGCAGCCAAGGGGUAAAGAAAAAAUAUAUAAACGGAUCUUGCGUUUCAGUUUGAGAAAUUU